CUUACACCUGAAAAAUGUCUGCUAACUCCAGAUCGUCUCGAUGCCAAACUCUAGCCCAAUCUACAUGACCUGGAAUAACAAAGCUACUUUACACACCCAACUAAAGCAUUUACUAGUCCUAGUAUAGGCGAUAGAAAAGACACCAUUGGAGCGAUAGAGACUACGUACCGUAAGGGAAAGAUGAAAUAUUAGUGAAAUAACCUAAGCUAAAAACAGCAAAGAUCAACCCUUGUACCUUUUGCAUCAUGGUCUAGCAAGAAAAACCAAGCAAAAUGAAUUUAAGUUUGCCACCCCGAAACCCAAGCGAGCUACUUACGAGCAGCUAUUUUGAGCGAACCCGUCUCUGUAGCAAAAGAGUGGGAUGACUUGUUAGUAGAGGUGAAAAGCCAAUCGAGCUGGGUGAUAGCUGGUUGCCUGUGAAACGAAUCUUAGUUCACUCUUAAUUCUUCUCCAAGGAAAUCACACGAACCCUAAUGAAGCGAAUUAAGGGCAAUUUAAAGGGGGUACAGCUCCUUUAAAAAAGAAUACAAUCUCUACGAGCGGAUAAGUAAUAAUUUACCUAACAUACUGUGGGCCCUCAAGCAGCCAUCAACAAAGAGUGCGUUAAAGCUCUACCUCUCAAAAAUAUAAGAACAACACGACUCCCUCCCCAUUAACAGGCUAACCUAUAUUUAGAUAGGAGAAUUAAUGCUAGAAUGAGUAACCUGGGUCCUCCCUCUACGACGCAAGCUUACAUCGGCACAUUAUUAACAAACCACCAAUAUACGAUAAAUCAAACAAGCAGAGUAUUAAGCAUAUUGUUGACCCGACAGAGGAGCGUCCA
rnacentral:rRNA from 2 species